rnacentral:rRNA from 1 species
GAUGAACGCUGGCGGCGUGCCUAAUACAUGCAAGUCGAGCGAACGGACGAGAAGCUUGCUUUUCUGAUGUUAGCGGCGGACGGGUGAGUAACACGUGGAUAACCUACCUAUAAGACUGGGAUAACUUCGCGAAACCGGAGCUAAUACCGGAUAAUAUUUUGAACCGCAUGGUUCAAAAGUGGAAGACGGUCUUGCUGUCACUUAUAGAUGGAUCCGCGCUGCAUUAGCUAGUUGGUAAGGUAACGGCUUACCAAGGCAACGAUGCAUAGCCGACCUGAGAGGGUGAUCGGCCACACUGGAACUGAGACACGGUCCAGACUCCUACGGGAGGCAGCAGUAGGGAAUCUUCCGCAAUGGGCGAAAGCCUGACGGAGCAACGCCGCGUGAGUGAUGAAGGUCUUCGGAGCGUAAAACUCUGUUAUUAGGGAAGAACAUAUGUGUAAGUAACUGUGCACAUCUUGACGGUACCUAAUCAGAAAGCCACGGCUAACUACGUG